rnacentral:rRNA from 1 species
CCUACGGGAGGCAGCAGUGAGGAAUAUUGGUCAAUGGCCGAGAGGCUGAACCAGCCAAGUCGCGUGAGGGAUGACGGCCCUACGGGUUGUAAACCUCUUUUGUCAGGGAGCAAGGUGCAGGUCGGGACCUGCUGUGAGAGUACCUGAAGAAAAAGCAUCGGCUAACUCCGUGCCAGCAGCCGCGGUAAUACGGAGGAUGCGAGCGUUAUCCGGAUUUAUUGGGUUUAAAGGGUGCGCAGGCGGAGGCACAAGUCAGCGGUAAAAUCGCGGGGCUCAACCCCGCUCCGCCGUUGAAACUGUGGCCCUUGAGUGCGCGAAGGGUAGGCGGAAUGCGUGGUGUAGCGGUGAAAUGCAUAGAUAUCACGCAGAACUCCGAUCGCGAAGGCAGCCUACCGGCGCGCAACUGACGCUCAUGCACGAAAGCGUGGGUAUCGAACAGGAUUAGAUACCCUGGUAGUC